CUGUGUACAGCCAACACAUGAUUUUGAGAGCACCAUCAGUGAAGUUGUGUUUUUGUUGUGUGUUACAAAAAUGAAACAGCAGAAUUCAGGGCAACAUUAUGCUAUCAAGUUUUGUGUUGACUUUGGGGAUCUGUACACCAUCUCAUAUAUAUGGAACAUAUAGACAACUUCACACUGGCACUCCCAAACCUCUGGAAUGGGGAACAGCAAUCUUAUCUGAAAGAGGUUCUCCCAGACUUCCAGAUAAUGGAGAAGAAGUGUCAACCAAACUGUAGAAGGCAGUGCAGCAGAGAAAGCAGUGCUGUUCCAUUUGAAAGCAGUAUCAGCGACCUGCACUCACAUUAAUUCUACUUGGAGAACUACAGACUACUUUGUUAUUUGAAAAAUGGUGCUACAUUUUUUUGCAUCACAUGGCAAUUUGUAAGAGAAUUGUGCUAAAUUAUUGAAUUGCCUCAGAAAUGUAAUGCUCAUUUUUGUAUUUAAUAUAUUUUAAAUUAAAUAAAUGUUCUUUCAUAUUUCUGUUACAAAAGGCUGGCAAUAUUACAUACACAAUAUUUUCACUACUUGGUCAUAUUAUUUAAAUGUAUUAACGAAAACAGUACUAGUAAACUUAUUUAUUGCAUGGAUGUUUUGUAAGUACGAUGGCAAAUGUGGAGGCAUAGUCGCUGUAUAAUUUUGUUUGACUUUAGAAGGAAAACAUGAUAUUUA